rnacentral:lncRNA from 1 species
CCAUUUCAUGCAAUAGCAUGGUGAAAAAGCAUGCACGAAAUCAGAAAGUACACUAAGUUGAAAUACCAUAGAUGAAAAAUGUUUCAUUCUACCAGUGUGCCAUCACCCUAAGCGCUGUUGUAAUUGACUUUCUGUGAGUCUUAUGACAAGCCUCUAACAAAUUCUUAUCAGGGACUACUUGCUACUGCUUUUCAUCCAGUUGCAUAGCACAUUGAUUUGAUAUUUAGAACUGGCAAUUAAAUGCAAUCAUCAAGAGUUCAUUUUUCCCUUGGCUCACGUUCAGGUGCAAGUUUGUUCAAUGUUGUGAAUAUUAACAACCUAAAAGUCGCUAUGUAAGAAACGACAACUAUCGUUCUUGUGUGCAUUUUCAUAUAUACAUUCAUUUCUAUUUCUUGUUUGCUUCCUCUUCCAUUAAACAAUAUUGAAAUUCAGCUAGAGCAAGACUCAAAUAUACUCCUACUUCGAUGCUUCUUUUACUUAUUACAGUUUAGUUUGUGACAAUGAGAAACAAGCUGUUGCUGUGAAAAGUCAGUUGCAGCAGCUCGCAAGACCAAUGUAUAGUAAUCCUCCUGUUCACGGCGCCCUCAUUGUUUCUAUCAUUCUUGGUGAUCCAGAGUUGAAGAAAUUAUGGCUGAAAGAAGUAAAAGUAAGUUUAAACUUCACUUCUGCAAUAUUUAGUUGACCUUCGCACUAUUACAAUUUGUUUGAAAAAGUUCUUUAUUUGUUAGAAUCGAAACAUUUUCUUGGGUUAAAAAGAAUUAACUAAAACUAGGAGAUAGAAACACAUGAUCAAAAUGACUAGUACCACCUGUGGAUAUAAUGAAACAAAUGAACAGGAUAGAAAUUAGAUUUUCUGUAUUGGUUGAAUUCUGAAUUACAGUGAGAAAAGAAAUGCAAAGAGCCGUUCGAGAGUGCUGUAACUCUCCCCAAUAUGACUUCACUCAAGCAUCCCCCUUAUUCUAUUUAUAAGAUUAUUGUAACUGUUUUUUUGUCCACCUCAGCCUGCCUCCUACCAGAUUUUGUUUCUACUCUCUCUCUCUCCCUUCUUCUUGAUCCUUCUAGAAUAGUAAUACCUGAUUGGGGUUCUAUCACAAAACUAGCAAUCAGCAUGCCAAAUCUACUCCUUAUUUAAGUGGAUUAAUGAAUAUUUGUAAUUUAGAGACACCCAAGCUGUUGACUCGUGCUGCUGUACAGAAUUAUGCAGGCAAGACAUGAUUCUGUUGGAACUCUUAAAUUGAGGGUCUCGCUGAUUUUAUUGGCCGGGAUGAAGUUCACCUUGAAAGGAAACUGUUAACCAAUACCUCUUUGAAUGCAUAACAACAUUCUCUAAUCGGUACCUUACAGUAAGCUAUUCUUUAUAUCAAGAAAGUACUAAUAGAAAGUUCUUCCUCCAGGGAAUGGCUGAUCGCAUCAUUGGAAUGAGAAGUGCUUUGAGAGAGAACCUAGAAAAAUUAGGUUCGCCUCUUCUGUGGGAGCACAUAACCAAGCAGGUUUUGCAACUUAUCAAUUCCUAGAAUUUUUCCUGUUUCUGUGUAACUACUUGAAAUACCCUCAAUAUGAAUUCUACAAUCAUUUCUGUUAUUGCAAACAGAUCGGCAUGUUUUGCUAUAGUGGGAUGACCCCUGAACAAGUUGAUCGCUUGACAAAGGAAUUUCACAUUUACAUGACUCGUAAUGGCCGGAUUAGGUAAUACAUCUUUUUCUAAAUUUUCUAUUUUUACCUUUUUUUUAUUUGUGCAAAUUUGCCAAUAUGUAACGUUAACGCAGCAUGGCUGGAGUCAAUACGGGCAACAUUGGUUACUUGGCAAAUGCGAUUCACGAGGUCACGAAAUUGGCUUAGGGAGUUGAGAAUUUACUUAUACAUGAGAUUUAGUGUUGCUGAUUCUUAUAGGAAAUCGACUGGGUUUUAUACACAACGUUGUUCCCCAGAUCGUUCAUUAGGCCUUCAAUAAUAAGACAGAUUCAUCAAGAGCUGAUAAUUUUGAGUUCUCUUGAUUCGUUGGACAAAUUUUAUGUAUGCCAUUUGUAGCUAGUGUAGUAAUAAUUCGGUGCCAGAGGUUACAACCUAUCAAGAGAACACCAUUGUUGUAACUGCAUAUAUUUCAACAUUGAAGUUAAAGUUUCCUUCGUUCUGAUAUUCUAUUUUUUGA